rnacentral:rRNA from 1 species
UGAGGAAUAUUGGGCAAUGCCCGCAAGGGUGACCCAGCAACGCCGCGUGGAGGAUGCAUGUCGUAAGAUUGUAAACUCCUGUUAGAGGGGAAGAAUAGUACCGGUUGGACCGGUAUAUGACUGUACCCUCAGAGAAAGCCCCGGCUAACUACGUGCCAGCAGCCGCGGUAAUACGUAGGGGGCAAGCGUUGUCCGGAUUUACUGGGUGUAAAGGGCGCGCAGGCGGGAUAAAAAGUCAGUGGUGAAAUCCUACAGCUUAACUGUAGAACUGCCUUUGAUACUUUUAUUCUUGAGUUCGGGAGAGAGAGACGGAAUUCCAGGGGUAGUGGUGAAAUACGUAGAUAUCUGGAAGAACACCAGUUGCGAAGGCGGUCUCUUGGUCCGACACUGACGCUGAGGCGCGAAAGCGUGGGGAGCAAACA